GACGAACGCUGGCGGCGUGCUUAACACAUGCAAGUCGAACGGAAAGGCCCUGCUUUUGUGGGGUGCUCGAGUGGCGAACGGGUGAGUAACACGUGAGUAACCUGCCCUUGACUUUGGGAUAACUUCAGGAAACUGGGGCUAAUACCGGAUAGGAGCUCCUGCUGCAUGGUGGGGGUUGGAAAGUUUCGGCGGUGGGGGAGUGACUCGCGGCUUAUCAGCUUGUUGGUGGGGUAGUGGCUUACCAAGGCUUUGACGGGUAGCCGGCCUGAGAGGGUGACCGGCCACAUUGGGACUGUGAUACGGCCCAGACUCCUACGGGAGGCAGCAGUGGGGAAUAUUGCACAAUGGGCGGAAGCCUGAUGCAGCAACGCCGCGUGCGGGAUGACGGCCUUCGGGUUGUAAACCGCUUUCGCCUGUGACGAAGCGUGAGUGACGGUAAUGGGUAAAGAAGCACCGGCUAACUACGUGCCAGCAGCCGCCGUAA
rnacentral:rRNA from 1 species